rnacentral:sRNA from 1 species
GUCGGGUUGGGGAUGAAGUGGUUGACCACGCCGCCCAUCACCGCGAAGGUGCGUUUACCCUCGCUGAGCAUCUGGACGCCGCGGCUGCGGAACUCCUU